UUACAUGGAUUAGCCUAUGGUGAGCAGC
rnacentral:piRNA from 1 species